ACGUAGGUGGCAAGCGUUGUCCGGAUUUACUGGGUGUAAAGGGCGUGUAGGCGGGCAUGCAAGUUGGAUGUGAAAUGUCACGGCUUAACCGUGGAGCUGCAUCCAAAACUGCAAGUCUUGAGUGCCGGAGAGGAAAGCGGAAUUCCUAGUGUAGCGGUGAAAUGCGUAGAUAUUAGGAGGAACACCGGUGGCGAAGGCGGCUUUCUGGACGGUAACUGACGCUGAGGCGCGAAAGCGUGGGGAGCAAACAG
rnacentral:rRNA from 1 species